GACGAACGCUGGCGGCGUGCCUAAUACAUGCAAGUCGAGCGAACUUGCGGGAGCUUGCUCCCAAAAGUUAGCGGCGGACGGGUGAGUAACACGUGGGCAACCUGCCUAUAAGACUGGAAUAACUUCGGGAAACCGGAGCUAAUACCGGAUAAUUCAUAUCUACACAUGUAGAUAUGCUGAAAGACGGUUUCGGCUGUCACUUAUAGAUGGGCCCACGGCGCAUUAGCUAGUUGGUGAGGUAACGGCUCACCAAGGCGACGAUGCGUAGCCGACCUGAGAGGGUGAUCGGCCACACUGGGACUGAGACACGGCCCAGACUCCUACGGGAGGCAGCAGUAGGGAAUCUUCCGCAAUGGACGAAAGUCUGACGGAGCAACGCCGCGUGAGUGAUGAAGGUUUUCGGAUCGUAAAACUCUGUUGUUAGGGAAGAACAAGUACUAGUGUAACUGCUAGUACCUUGACGGUACCUAACCAGAAAGCCACGGCUAACUACGUGCCAGCAGCCGCAGUAAAAC
rnacentral:rRNA from 1 species